GACGAACCGUGCAAACGUUGUUCGGAAUCACUGGGCUUAAAGGGCGCGUAGGCGGGUCACCAAGGCCGGGGUGAAAUCUUUCGGCUCAACCGGAAAAGUGCCUUGGAUACUGGUGGUCUUGAGUGAGGUAGGGGCAUGUGGAACUUCCGGUGGAGCGGUGAAAUGCGUUGAUAUCGGAAGGAACUCCGGUGGCGAAAGCGACGUGGUAGGCCUCUUCUGACGCUGAGGCGCGAAAGCUAGGGGAGCAAACGGG
rnacentral:rRNA from 1 species